rnacentral:rRNA from 1 species
CUCCGGUUGAUCCCGCCGGACCUGACUGCUAUCGGAUUGGUACUAAGCCAUGCGAGUCAUUGUAGCAAUACAAGGCGGACAGCUCAGUAACACGUAGUCAACCUAACCUAUGGACGUGGAUAACCUCGGGAAACUGAGAAUAAACCGCGAUAGAUCAUUAUGCCUGGAAUGGCUUAUGGUUCAAACAAUUUAUUGCCGUAGGAUGGGACUGCGGCCUAUCAGCUUGUUGGUGAGGUAAUGGCCCACCAAGGCUAUAACAGGUACGGGCUCUGAGAGGAGAAGCCCGGAGAUGGGUACUGAGACACGGACCCAGGCCCUAUGGGGCGCAGCAGGCGAGAAACCUUAGCAAUGUGCGAAAGCACGACUGGGUCAGUCCGAGUGAUUCCUGAUAAAGGAGUCUUUUAUCUGUCCUAAAAGCACAGGUGAAUAAGGGGUGGGCAAGUCUGGUGUCAGCCGCCGCGGUAAUACCAGCACCUCGAGUGGUCAGGACGUUUAUUGGGCCUAAAGCAUCCGUAGCCGGCUCUGCAAGUCUUCGGUUAAAUCCACCUGCUCAACAGAUGGGCUGCUGGAGAUACUACAAAGCUAGGGAGUGGGAGAGGCAGACGGUAUUCAGUGGGUAGGGGUAAAAUCCUCUGAUCCAUCGAGGACCACCAGUGGCGAAGGCGGUCUGCCAGAACACGUUCGACGGUGAGGGAUGAAAGCUGGGGGAGCAAACCGGAUUAGAUACCCGGGUAGUCCCAGCUGUAAACGAUGCAAACUCGGUGAUGCAUUGGCUUAUGGCCAAUGCAGUGCCGCAGGGAAGCCGUUAAGUUUGCCGCCUGGGAAGUACGGACGCAAGUCUGAAACUUAAAGGAAUUGGCGGGGGAGCA